CGGGUCGGCGGCCGCCGACCCGCCACUGACACCGGUACCUGACACGGCCGGUGCAG
rnacentral:ncRNA from 1 species